rnacentral:tRNA from 1 species
GUGCAGGUGGCAUAGUGGUUAGGGUCCUUGUUUUGCAAACAAAAGACCUGGGUUUGAAUCCCACCUUCAGCU